rnacentral:sRNA from 1 species
GGACAUAGCACAUACAGUGUUAAAUAAAUGUAGGUUUUCUUCCCUCACUGCUGUCUGCCUCCAGACUAAGAGAAGAGCAGCACUGUUUUUGUUUUAGUUCCCAGUGGAAUAGCUGAGCAUAUUGUAUCUGCCCAGGGAAGUCAAUAUCAGGGAGAAGACAGGAUGAGACGUGUUCAUGACUCAUAGCUCACUUAGGUAUAUGGGAGCAUGUCCACAGGAAUAUUAGCUCUUCUGCCUGGUACCCCACUGGGCAUACUCUUAAGACCCUUGGCUGCUGUGCCCUGCCCUGCACCUGUCUCUUAUUUUUCCUUCCUUUUCUCCUUUUUACCUUGUACCCUGCCUUUUCUGAUCCCAACCUCUGCAUAUCACUUAUUCCUGGGAGAGGGAUCAUAAGCCUAAAAGAGCUAUUUCCAUUCUUUCUGCCCAUUCCUCAUGUAGAAAGACUUAGUCUGGCUUGGCUUAAACCUCCUCCCCUCCAAGCUCUCUGUGCUUUCUGUCUUUCAGUGACAUCUGCCAUGAGCUGUUGGGACAUGUGCCCUUGUUUUCAGAUCGCAGCUUUGCCCAGUUUUCCCAGGAAAUUGGCCUUGCCUCUCUGGGUGCGCCUGAUGAGUACAUUGAAAAGCUCGCCACAAUUUACUGGUUUACUGUGGAGUUUGGGCUCUGCAAACAAGGAGACUCCAUAAAGGCAUAUGGUGCUGGGCUUCUGUCAUCCUUUGGUGAAUUACAGUACUGCUUAUCAGACAAGCCAAAGCUUCUCCCCCUGGAACUGGAGAAGACAGCCAUCCAAAAUUACCCUGUCACGGAGUUCCAGCCCCUGUAUUACGUGGCGGAGAGUUUUAAUGAUGCCAAAGAGAAAGUAAGGAACUUUGCUGCCACAAUACCUCGGCCCUUCUCAGUUCACUAUGACCCAUACACCCAAAGGAUUGAGGUCUUGGACAAUACCCAGCAGCUUAAGAUUUUGGCUGAUUCCAUUAACAGUGAAAUUGGAAUCCUUUGCAGUGCCCUCCAGAAAAUAAAGUAAAGCCAUGGACAGAACGUGGUCUGUCAACUGUGAAUCUGUUGAUGGAGAUCCAACUAUUUCUUUCAUCAGAAAAAGUCUGAAAAGCAAA